AUGAACGCUGGCGGCGUGCCUAAUACAUGCAAGUCGAGCGAACAGAUGAGGAGCUUGCUCCUCUGACGUUAGCGGCGGACGGGUGAGUGACACGUGGAUAACCUACCUAUAAGACUGGGAUAACUUCGGGAAACCGGAGCUAAUACCGGAUAAUAUAUUGAACCGCAUGGUUCAAUAGUGAAAGACGGUUUUGCUGUCACUUAUAGAUGGAUCCGCGCCGCAUUAGCUAGUUGGUAAGGUAACGGCUUACCAAGGCGACGAUGCGUAGCCGACCUGAGAGGGUGAUCGGCCACACUGGAACUGAGACACGGUCCAGACUCCUACGGGAGGCAGCAGUAGGGAAUCUUCCGCAAUGGGCGAAAGCCUGACGGAGCAACGCCGCGUGAGUGAUGAAGGUCUUCGGAUCGUAAAACUCUGUUAUUAGGGAAGAACAAAUGUGUAAGUAACUAUGCACGUCUUGACGGUACCUAAUCAGAAAGCCACGGCUAACUACGUG
rnacentral:rRNA from 1 species